GAUGAAGAACGUAGCGAAAUGCGAAAAGUAAUGUGAAUUGCAGAAUUCAGUGAAUCAUCGAAUCUUUGAACGCACAUUGCGCCCGCCAGUAUUCUGGCGGGCAUGCCUGUUCGAGCGUCAUUUCAACCCUCAAGCCCUCGGGUUUGGUGUUGGGGAUCGGCGAGCCUUUCUGGCAAGCCGGCCCCGAAAUCUAGUGGCGGUCUCGCUGCAGCCUCCAUUGCGUAGUAGUAAAACCCUCGCAACUGGAACGCGGCGCGGCCAAGCCGUUAAACCCCCAACUUCUGAAUGUUGACCUCGGAUCAGGUAGGAAUACCCGCUGAACUUAAGCAUAUCAAUAAGCGGAGGA
rnacentral:misc_RNA from 1 species